rnacentral:lncRNA from 1 species
UGAUUACGGGGUGAAAGGUUUGAUCGAUUUUGAGUCCUUGAUCUUACUCUGAAGAAGAAGAAGAAUCACCCAGACACUGAGAAAGUUUUGAGGUGACUGGUUGUGACUGCAGGUGCUAACUAAGAUAAGUGCUACUUCACCAAAUCUCCCUGCUGUUUCUUCACUACUGCUUCUAAGCUCUUCUAGAACAAUUGGAGCAGGGGACUAAUGUGGAUCUCUGUGAUGUCAAGAUUUUGAAAUCGAUCAAAUCAACCAGUUUACAUGUCGUGGAUAACUGAAGUUAUCUCAAAGAAAGACUUGGCAAGAGUGUAGCUGGAAGUAUCAAAGAUUCAGAGUAUGGCAAAGGAAUGGAGGUGUCAGCAAGUGGCGACAUCUAUAGCUAUAAAAUCCUGCUAUUUGAGAUGUUGAUAGGCAAAAGAUUGACAGAUGACAUGUUUAAAGACGGCCUGAACUUGCAUAAAUUAUUCAAAUAAGGCUUUGGCCUCCUUAUCCUACUGGAUGGUGAUCAGAGCUGAGUCUUCUAGCCAUCCCGGUCAGCCAGCUUUUGAGCAAGCACUUGGAGCCUAUUAUUGAAGAGGAGCUUUUGAACGAGCACAUGGACACUAUUGAAGAGUGUAAGACUCGGCUUUGAUUAUCCAACAAGAUGCUACCAGUCUACUUUGUUCUUGGAAUUUUAUGAUCUGUACGUAAAUUUGAAUGCGUGACCGGGACGGCUAGAAGACUCAGCUCUUAUCAAGAUGCCACCAGUAUACUUUGUUCUUGGGAUUUUAUCAUUUGUACCUAAUUUUGAAUGCAUGGAAACUUUCUAAGUAUAUCAUGUCUUUUUUUCAUUUGAAAUUCAGCUU